rnacentral:rRNA from 1 species
GACGAACGCUGGCGGCGUGCUUAACACAUGCAAGUGGAGCGACGAACCAGGGCUUGCCCUGGGGCAGAGCCGCGAACGGGUGAGUAACACGUGGGUAACGUGCCCCAAUGAUCGGGACAACCCGGGGAAACCCGGGCUAAUACCGAAUGUGCUCCCCUCACACCAGUGAGGGGUGGAAAGGAAGCUUCGGCCUCCGCAUUGGGAUCGGCCCGCGGCCCAUUAGCUUGUUGGUGAGGUAACGGCUCACCAAGGCUGCGAUGGGUAGCUGGUCUGAGAGGACGAUCAGCCACACUGGGACGGAGACACGGCCCGGACUCGUACGGGAGGCAGCAGUGGGGAAUCUUGCGCAAUGCGCGAAAGCGUGACGCAGCAACGCCGCGUGGGGGAAGAAGGCCUUCGGGUUGUAAACCCCUUUCAGGAGGGACGAAGCGUGGGCGGUUAAUAGCCGGCCCACGUGACGGUACCUCCAGAAGAAGCCCCGGCUAACUACGUGCCAGCAGCCGCCGUAA